CCUACGGGUGGCAGCAGUGGGGAAUAUUGGACAAUGGAGGGAACUCUGAUCCAGCGACGCCGCGUGAGUGAAGAAGUAUUUCGGUAUGUAAAGCUCUAUCAGCAGGGAAGAAAGAAAUGACGGUACCUGACUAAGAAGCUCCGGCUAACUACGUGCCAGCAGCCGCGGUAAUACGUAGGGGGCAAGCGUUAUUCGGAUUUACUGGGUGUAAAGGGAGCGUAGGCGGCGAUGCAAGUCUGAAGUGAAAGCCCGGGGCCCAACCCCCGGACUGCUUUGGAAACUGUAUGGCUGGAGUGCAGUAGAGGUAAGUGGAAUUCCUAGUGUAGCGGUGAAAUGCGUAGAUAUUAGGAGGAACACCAGUGGCGAAGGCGGCUUACUGGACUGCAACUGACGUUGAGGCUCGAAAGCGUGGGGAGCAAACAGGAUUAGAUACCCUGGUAGUC
rnacentral:rRNA from 1 species